rnacentral:lncRNA from 1 species
CUAGGCAACCCCCAGAUGACAUCACUCACACACCGCGCUGCCGGCGAUGUCAUCUCUACAUAUUUAUAGGGCCUCUAUGGAGAGGGUGUGCAUUAUAGAAACGACGGCAUUUUUCUCCGGAUGACGGGUUACGCGAAUGGGUCCAAACGAUGAGCUACGUGUCCCAGCGCAUGUCUGAUAGCCUGGUUGGCGGAGGCGGCCAUCUUCUGCUGCAACUCCAACUGCGCUGGCCCCACAGACCCCACACCCCGGCCGCUUCUCCACUCUAACUCCUGCUCACCUUGCUUCAGCUCCCCAGCCAGUCCAGAGAGCCACGUGGGUCUAGCGUGGAGCUAACUUCCUACUUUACUGAGUAAAGACUCUCAGCAGAAAACCCAGCUCCCCUGCUAUCGCCGCAACCUCGUAAAACAGGGACCCCGAAACCCCCCGGGGUGGAGGCCGAGGGAACUCAGAACAGAGCGCCGGCCGUCAUGCUGCCUGUUCUCAUCUGUCACUGAUGGCAGAAGAUGUCACCACCAGAGCCCAGAGGUCCCAGGAACUGGGGCUGAUGCCCGGGGUCCCUGGCCGCCUGCCGACGGUGUCCCUGUGGCUGUGCGUGCUCACGGCCCGUGUGGUGCCCCACAGCUGUGUGCACAGUUACAAGGCCUUUGGCAGCAGGAAUGGGCGUCCCUGGGGGAUCUGACACUGAACCCCGACACCGACCCUGGUUUCAUCGUCGUGUCACCAUGAGCACGUUGCAAUUGACAUUCACGGGCCCGAGAUGCUUUCCAGGGUGAAAGCAGACGGGCAAACGCUGCCUCCCCGCCUCUCUGUGUUCUCUUCAGACAGAGCUCGGACCCUCUCCUCCAACUCUCUCCUGAAAACCUGUUUGGGUAAUUAUUUAGCAGGGAAAAUCUUGGCAUACGUUAGCUUAUAAGCAGGACAAAGACCCUCGGAAGUCCUGCUCCGAGGGCUGCAGUGACGGGGCGUUCCCAGGGCCCUGGGCCUCUGUCCAGCCCAGUGCAGCCUCCGGUGUGGCGGGGUCCUGCUCUCCAGGACCACCCUGGGCUCUCUGCUUGCCGCGUCUGAGCCAAGAGGUCCUGCUCAAGGGAGAUGUCCAGGCCCUCCCUGCACCCUGGCCCACGGCCCUUGCCACCACAAACCAACCCAACCACGUGCACAACCCUGUGGCCGACUAGGCCGCAGCUCCACAGAGGCCUCCCCUGCUGGGAGCAGCCUGGGCUGGACAGGGCAAGGGACACGGGGUCCCUGUGGACCAGCAGCAACCAGCAGAUGCCAGUU